rnacentral:rRNA from 1 species
CUCCAAUAGCGAAUACUAAUUCUGCUGCAGUUAAAAAAGCUCGUAGUUGAACCUCUGGUAGGGCGGAUCCGGCCGUUGGGAUGAUUCCUUUGUUGCUGUGUGUCUUGUCUGGCCAUCUUUUCUUCUUGAAAAAGAAGGAUCUUUCACUGUAAAAAAAUUAGGGUGUUUCAAGCAAAAGUUAUUUGGAAUAUAUUAGUAUG